UGGCGGAGGGAGGCGAGCGGCGGUCUGAUCGGGACGGGACUGAAGGGAUGAGGCAGACCCGGCCGUGGCCCCCGCGAUCGCGCCUGCCAUCGCCUGCCCUCCCACCGCGGCGCCUCUCGGGGGCCGCGAGUUCCCCUCAGCCCUGCCGCCAUGGCGAGCCCGAGCCGGGAAGGCGGCCCCCCCGGUCACCUGUUGCCCCGCUGAUCGGGGGUUCUCUGGCCGCGGCGGGGUCCCGGCCAGCAGCGGCCGCGCUGCCGGUCAGAGCAGAAAGCCCCCGCGGCGGCUUGGCUCGCUUCGGCCCGGCGUGCUGCGGCGGGAGCGCCCGGCCCUGUAGCCAGGCCGCGUAGGCCUGGGGCUGGCUGAGCGGCUCUGCUCGCCCAGAGCUCCGUCCUCUCCUGACAGAAGGGGCAGUCGUGGCCGUUAUUUACCAAUAAUAAUUACAGGCUGCUGUCGUCUCUCCCGCAGCUGAAUAUUUACUACUGCCGGUAGAACUUGCAGGUGGUUUUGGUGGCCUUUCCAAAAUGAAUAGGUGUAAAGUGUUUGCUUGCACUUCCGUAUGGUGCAGGCCUGCUGUCCACAGGUUAGCUCUUUCUGUGACUGGUAAAUGAGCAUAAAUAUAAGCUCUUGGGGAAAAGAACCCUGUUCUUUUCUGCACAGGUGGUGAGGAGUUAUCUUUCUUCAGUUUUAGCUGGGUGAACUUAUUUUUUAAAAGGCUACGGCUAGGACUGUGCUCAAACUUCAGAAGUUGCAUGCAGUUUGUCAUCGAAAUAAUAACAUAGUGUCUAAGUAGUUCCCUGCCUUGUAGGGAUUGAGAAAUUGUCAGGCUGUGCAUGCUAUAAAUUCACACUAAUAUUUUAUUAAUCAGGAAAAAAUGUAUUGUUAAUGAGAUUUCAGUCAGGCUGGAUUGGCACCUAGAGUAAAUAUUCCCACUGGGGAAUAGCUGUUUCUUAGGGGUUGGGCAGGUUCCCUCGCAGGCAGUGCAGCGCUAAUGCAAGGCUGCUCGGGGGAUGUUUGUAUCCAAGGCUGUCUGAUACAGCACAGGGAUGGUGAAAUAAAGAGUACUGAAAAGCUAUGGAAAUAGUCAAUGGGAAAUACCUGCUUCUUCCUAGAAACUUCUUUAUGUAAUAAUCUGAGAGUGUGGCUUCCUAAAUAAUAGUUGGAUCUCUUUCCAAACGACUUUUCUCUUAGUCUUCCUAGAUUUAAGAGUAGGCACGUGUUAUGAUACCAUCAAAAUAACAAAACACUGUAGAAUGCUUUGAAAGACACAAAAAACGUGGUAGCAGACCAACAGUGCUAAUGCAAGGAAAGAGGUUCAAGGAGAAAGAACUUCAGAAUUCCAAAUAUCCUAAAACACACCAAGUUUUGGUCCAAAGAACAGAUACCACCGUACAUAAAGUGCACAAAAAGCAGGUGAUCAGGCAUACCUCUGUGUAUUCAGCGCACUAAGCAAGCAGAGUUUAGAGUUUGAUGAAAAACAGGACAGGCUUUUCUCUAAUUAGUCUUAGGAGGAAGUGAGGAAUAGCUGGUGGAAGAAGAAUUCAAUACCUGAGUCAGUAAUUGUCUCACAGGAUAUUUAGGUUCCAUAGUCUUAGGAAUGGCAAAUAAUGUAUAAAUAAAAUAUCUCCUAGGUUUUCUUCUUUUUUGUUUUGUUUUAAGAAGGAAAACUAGUCAAAAGUAUCUCCCACUGCAAACCUAGGUAGUAACGCCUGGACACUUCCCAUAGUAGACACAGCAGAACUGAAUGCUGCUGGGCUCUGGUACCCAUCCACAAACAAGCCUCUGUCCCCAGAAGAAAAGAGAGAGGGAAAAACAGAAAGCUAGACAAGGUGCUUCAAGAAGUUAUUUGACACAAGUAGCUGUUCUGCUGCAACAAAACCUUUGGCAAGGCAACAGGAAAGAAGAGUAAUGUAUGGAAAGCAAAAUUACACAGGAAAACAGGUAGGCUAAGAUAGACUUAAAGAGCAAUUAACCAAAGGCACGAGGACAAACAAGGUAGUUUUUCAUCAGCCAGUGGCAGAAAGCCUGCAGGAAACAUCGGGUUAUUUGCAUGUAAGAAGAUGGCACAAUGGAAGAAAAGGCAUUGAAGAGUUUGCUUUCUCAGCACUGAGAUGUUUCACUGUUCCCGGAUGCUAGCUGUGUAAGGGAAGGGUUAAUAAAGAUUAAUAUUAAAGUCAGUGACUCAUUAUCCAAGAGAAUUAGGAGUGGCUCUCUAGAAGGAAGGAACUGAACAGUCAUUAGGAAGAACUCCUAAUGAAUAACCAUGUCAGGGCAAGAAUAUGGAGAUGAAUGUUAUCAGUUGAGUCUUGAUUCCUCUGUUAAUGAAAUUCGGUCCCACUGUGGAUGAAUAUGUGAGGCGCAGGCUGUGGAAUAGGCUAGCCGUGGUAACCUUGAUAGGUACGUUUGCCUGGCAAUAAUUGAUACAUAUAUUAUCUAUGGGAAACACUUGCUUUACAUUAUUUCCCUUAAUAUUUGUUCUCCUUUCUCACACUGGUGUGAGAGAGCUCACUGUGGAGCUCUUGCCCCAGAAUUUCCCAGUUCUUGCUGCAGGAGAAAAACUCCCCGCCCUCCUCCCUACUGCCAGGUCUGUGAGCAGCCAUGGGCUCAUCCUGUGGGCAAGAUACUCCUCUGUGUUAUUACUACAGUGCUCAAAAGUGUAAUAUGUCUCAUAUUAUUAUUUCAGUACUGAAUUUAAAUGCAGACCAUUGCAAAUAAACAUCCAAUAAAUGUUAACAUUCUGCUGUUAGCUACAACUAUUAGCCGCCACUGCCCUGUUUCCUGUUAUCUGGAGCAUUUGACUGUAGUGGGGUAAAUAGCACACAACAAUAGAGCUGACCCCUGUUUCUUUCAUGGUAUAUUGCUUGUAUAGCUAGUUAUUAAAAAUUUUGCUUACAGAAACUUGCAGAAUCUUCAUGCGAUUUAUAUAAAACAGAAAAAUUGUGUUGGGACACUUCUGCAGGUUGAUUUAUCUACAUCCUCAGUAUGUAUGUUAGCUUAAGUGAAUUCCAUUUGUUUGUUUGGGUUUUUUUUUUAAGUUACAGGCACGCCUGCCACUUAGUCUAAAAUAGUUGCGAAAAUAGUAGACAUUGAGGAAAGAUAAUUUAGGUUUAAAACAAUUUUUUGGGAAUGAAAUUUGUCACUCACUGUAGUCUUCCUCUAAUUUUGUGUCAUAGUACUUGCUACCAGGUGAGACAUCCCUUCCUCAUAGCUUAGGAUGGUGAUACUAAACCAUAUGCAAACACAAAAUUUAUACAGGUAAAGAAUUCCUGUGUUCAGGUGCCUCUCCGUAGCCUUUUGAACUAUCUACAAACAUCAUCUCGCUUGAUCAUAAAAUAACUUUUUUUCAAAUGUGGAUGAUACCUAUGAUGGAACAUUUUUCUUUUAGGACAGAAAAAUGUGCAUAUGGGAGACAUCUGAGUCAUUUAAAUGCUUAUCAGUCUCUCCAACAGCAUCAGCUCUUAAAGGAGUUCCAGUCUGUUUCUAGAACUUCUUCCUUUUUCAGAUUUCUGCAAGACAAGAUUGCAGAAACCCAUAGAUGAUUGGUGAUCUUAAAUAGAUUGCUUGCUACCAGUUAAUUUUUUUCUUAGUCUACAAGACAGAAUAUUAUUCUUCCAGCAACAGUUGGGUAGUACAUAUUGUAUGGUUUCUUCUGUAAAACUUUGUCUUUGAGAAGAAGAGUUUGCUGAAAUUUUUAGUUUUGGCUGAUCUGCUCUCACCCAUCAAGCAUUACUCUGCUCUAACAUCUCAACUUAAUUUAAAAUUCAGCUUCCACCAUAACUUCAAAUCGUGCGAAACUAGUUGCACUGAUAUCUGGUGAGUACAAUUAGCAUCUUUUCACUGCAAUUAAGCAUUUUCUGUUGGCUGUGUACACUUCCAGUUUGUUUUGGUACAGCAUGGAGCUUCCACAGGAGACUGGUACUAGGGAGCAGAAUAUUCUUCUGCGCUUUCUCCCUGGCCGCUAUGAACUUUGGUGACUAAUCACUUUACAGCAUUUUGAUUUGCUUUUCAGUGCUGUUCUUGUAUCGGCCACGUAGGAUUUGUGCCUUUCUCAAGCUUGUGUAAGAGACGCACAAGAAACUGCAGUCCACUGAUUUUUUUCUUUUUUCAUUCUCCCUUACCAGCUGGCCUAAUAGACUUUUAAUGUUUUGUGAGAGUUGACAGUAAAUCCUACUUCUUCUUUGCCUGUCUAAGAUAGGAGUACUACUUGGGCACUCAGGAAGUCUGCUCUCCUAGCACGUGCCUCAUGCAAGUAUGCACCAGUGGUGACCAUACAGUCUUUUUUUUUAACUCUCCUACUAGCAUUUGCUUUUUUAUUUACCUUAAUGGAAUGUAGAAUUACCCAACGUGUGUUCUUCCUCAUUACAUUGCUCACUCUUAGUCAAAAGCCAUUUUGUGGUAAACUGUUUUAUUUCACGUUUCUGCCUUUACUCUCAAGACAAACUGUUGUUGAUUCUUGAUUAAUUCUUCAGAGAUUUUCUCGUAUUUCUGGCCCAUCACUAAUUGCACUAAGUUACUUAAGAACUGUCAGUCUUUCCCAAAAUUGCUAAAUCCUCCUGAGUUCUUGCAUGUUCAGUGUUUUCUGUAUGCUGUCCUUCAUAGCUCCCUGUGAAAAGGAGGCUAAUCCAAAUGGCUGACACAAGGGCAGAAGCCCAGCAAAGACACCAGUGGUGGAACAGACUCUUUUUUCAGUGUUUUCAUAUUAUUUGGGAAUUUCACUUGGCAGCUUAAUUUUGCUGUGAGCUUCUUGCAAUGCUUUCUCUUUUACGGCUGUUGGCCUGUGUUUUGGUGUAUUGUACAUUAUCCAGCAGACAGACUAUUAUUUUAGUAUCAUUAACAAUCACCUAUGCAAAACACUAGCAAAUGGCUUCACUGGAGCACCUUUUCUAAGAGUUGUGGCUAUGACAAACCCCGCAUCAUGUUUUUGAGUACCUGGUCUCUUGUUCCUCCUGAGACAAUACCUAUUAUUUUGUGUGUUUGAAAAAAGCAGAUUUAGGAAGUGUGUUGUAUUUGAAUGAACUCAGCAACAGUUUGCAUUUCUUGUAUAGAAUGGUGAAUGCAGAGAGAGGGAGUGGAGGCAUAACACCACAAAAGUGGGAUCACGAGGAGCUGUGUUAUCUUCCAGGGUGGAUAGUACAGGACUGCUGUUGGCAACCACUUCUGAGUUGCACUUUUUUUCUAUUUUCUUGGGUCAGUUGACCCAUUAAUAACCUCUUCAAGUGUAUUUUUAUCUGCUUUUCCCCUUUUCCAAAGGCAUCUGCUGCUUUCCAAAUGAUUUUUUUUUUAGGCCAUUCAAAUACUAGGAAAACAUGCCAGGCCAACACUGAAAUCCUUUGUAGACAGGACCUGUCUGAAAGCACACCACUUGCUAUGUGAAUGGCAGAGGAGGAGAAAAGAACUUAUCCCAAAGCCUGCUGUGAAGCCCACGUUAAGGUGAAGCAAUACGUAGUCCAAGGACAAAUCCAAAGAAAAGAUUAUUAAAAAACCAGCGUACUUCAACAGAGCAACUGCUACACACCCAAGUGCAAAACUUCUGAUUGCACUUAGAGGCUGACCUGUUAGGAGUUAGGCCCUGUACAAACAUUGGGUAAGUGACAGUAUUGCUCCAGCAAACUUUUAGGGCAGGAAAAUAACUGGCAGCGAGUCCUCUGAGUGUAUGGGAAAAGUGGCCUCGCAGAAGAGGGGGCAAGUGACGCUGUCUGAAAUAAUUCCUCCUUUCAGAGAACAAGCAGUGCUUUCACAGCAGUGGAUACUUAGCCGUGGCACACAGUAUACAGAUUACAUCAGGUCCAUUUGCCACCUUUAAUUAUUUUUGAAAAAGAAAAGCAUGAAAAUUUUCAGUUUAAAUUUGAAUUUUUAAGCAUAAAAGCAUAAAUAAUAAAGGCAUUAUGAAGCAGGCAACAGGAGCUGGUGGAGAGCAAUAGCACUGGCUCUUAGAAAACCUGGAACAGUAGCAUGCUGUUCCCUUGGUAUUAAUGAAUAGUUGUAUGAGACGUACAAAAAGCUAGUAUUUAAAGUAUAUUCUACAGCUCUUUAUGCAGGAGAAUCAAUAGUGUUGCAAACAGAUACUAAUACAUUACUAUAGCUAGCUACUACAGCAAAUACGAUGCAUUUGCAUGUGGUGUCAUGAGAAGAGUACAUAGGAGCUAAAAAUAUGGACUGUGGCCAUUUCAGAAAAACAGCUAUUUACACUUCUAACACUUUAAAAACAUGUCAUUUUUGAUGGCAUUAUGCAAUUAACACAAGUAUCUAAAGCAUGUAAGUGACAGGUUUAGCUACCUAAAUGUAGGAUAUGGGUGCCAGGUUUGGGAACACCAUCUAAGCCAGACCUGCACUUUCAGUCUGCUAGAGUAACUAAAUUCUUCAUCUUACCCAAACACAUGGCAGCAUGGUCUACCAGUGUGCCAUCCAUAGAUGUAGAUAGCUCAGUUAUUUGUCCUACUGCAUACUGCCCUUAUUUCAUCCCUAUGACUCUUGCUACACAACUCUACUCUAAAAGUCAAGUAAAAAAAAAAUUAAUUUGAAUUGCAUCAUAUAAAGUUGUGGGGCCAUGUCUGCUUGAAUCCACACACAGGCUGAAAUGAGCUCUACAAAAUCCAGGCUUUUCAAUGCGGUGGGCUGGACACAAGGGGUACUUUGUGCUGUUGCCUUUCCAGUCGCAUAAUGGCUCUCCGUGUCUGUCCUGUGGGCACAGCUACCACUCCUGGGACGAGGUGCUCCUUGAGUUGGUGCAGUUAGAGAAAAUGAAAAGCAGAAACAAUCCUCCUGUUGUCCAGAUCUGGCCCACGAGCUACCAAUUAGACUGCUCUGAACUACAGCGCACAGUUCAAAGGGUGGCUAAUUGUAUUUUAAUGACAAUCUAAAUGAUACUGCUGAUCAUUUCAGAAGCGUCCAGAUCACUAAUUGCUAGUAGCCUAUGUAGUGCUGUAAGCAGGCAAAGCACUGUAAAAAUGUGAAGUAAGAUUAUUAAUGUUCCAAAUGGCCUUCAGUGCCCUCCCACAUAUCAAAAGCAUCAUCCCUUGUUCAUAGGCCCAAACCUCUGCCCUGGCUGCUCACACCUGUGAUGCAGCUGCCCAGCUGCAGCAGGUGUUGUUACAACAUCCUGGAAAUAAGAGAAAAAGUGCAGCAAUUCAAACACACUUAUAUUCAUUAACCAAAAAUUCUACAAAUGUUAACAAAAUACACUAGUAAUAAAUAUUAAUUAAAAUCCGUAUACCAUCCCUGCUUCAGAACAUUUUAAUCUUAAAUACUUGCUUGAUUGAACUGAAUCUCUGAACAAAGCAUGGUCAGGAUGUUUAAAUACACUCACCAGAAAUGCAAAUACUAACAAGCCGCAUGCCUGUUUGUAGCAGGCGUUAUUUCUUUCCUUGUUGUUGCAGUCACGCAGGAGGAGCAGUGGCGCAGUGGGGGGACCCAGCCAGUCCACGGAGCACAUGAUGCCGGAGCUGUGCUUGUGCUGCAGGUCACGGGGAUUUUGGAUUCCAAGGCUGGCAAGUCAGCACCCACCAAACACAUUAAAUUCCUUUCCAAAUGUUUAUUUGUAUUUUGUACAAGAUGCUCAUAGGCUGUUGAGGAAACAUCCUCCAAAAAAAAUAUUUAGAGUGCAAGUCACGGUUUUUCCCUUUAGAAAUUCAGCCAAAACACACCGAAUCUGCUAACCACUGACAACAUAGUGGUGGUUGAGAUGUUUAUACAUAAAACACUAUAUCAGUGAGAGUAAACUGCACAUCUUGCCUGUGUAAUAGAUAUCUCUAGUAAUGAAAUUGAAAAGCUGGCUAAGCCCUUUAUGAGAAUAUAGGUUAGCUGUAGUACAGUGGAUUUUAAAUGCCAAAUCUAAGCAAUUAGAAUUUUGAAGAGACUUUUACUGGUGCAGGAAAAGAAAGAGGCUUGUUUUCUCAUUGGAAAAUAAAAUGCAUGUAAAUAAAUACUAAUUUUUUUGUUGUUGUUGUGAAGAUUUAUAUAAGCUUAAUCCCUUUACAGCCCUAGAGUAUAUUAGGUUUCACUAAUCUAGUCUCAAUUUUAUGUGGGAUUGCAGGCAUAGGGUGAGAGUGAGGACCUAGCUCUGCUCUGUGACCAGGUGUGCUGCGAAGAGAGUGAGAUCAUCUGUGUACCCUUUACACCUGAAGCCAGUGAUUUUGUGCCUGUAGUUGCAUGAGCACCUGUUUGUGUGAAGAAGCUCCUGAAACUGCUUUUAAAGAGACAUUUGUUUAUGCAGAUAAGGUGGCUGGUUACAAAACAAGGAGAUUUGCACAUGGGAAUAAUUUUGCAUGGGAUUUUCAAGAUUCCUUUCUUGCAGCCAUUUGACCUGGAGUUUUGCUUUCCAUGUAAAUGAUCUGUCUCCCUUGCUUGGUUAAUGCUUUAAGCAUGCUAUUUGUGUUCCUCUCCUUUUUCUUAAGGCUGUGCAGUGAUGGUGUCUCUGGCAAUGAAAGUACUGUAAUAUUCUUGCACUUUGUUACUAAGUGCAGGUUUUUCCUUUUACAACGUCAAUGGUGUUUGAAACUGAGAAGGUCUGAUGGCACCUAAUUCCUCCCUUCUGUUUCAGGAACACUUGCCUUAACGGCCAGUACGCUCUUACAGAUCUCACAGUCUCUACAGAAUAGCACACCUGAGCUGAUGCCAGAUAAGUGCUGGUCUGGUAAGAGGUAAUGUUUAAACUUCUGUAUCCCCAGUUUUUUUCAUUAAAGCUAAUUCACUUGGUUUUCAUUCUUUCUAGAAAGGUCUGAGAUAUUGGUCUCUUAGGGUUUUUUUGUCUGAUUUACACAGAUUACUUUCUCAUCUUUGUUAAUUCUUUUAAAUAAAUAUCACUUGAAAUUUACCCUGUGGUUUUCUUGCCCUUCAUAUAAGUCAGGAAAGCAUUUAAAAUUUAGAGAAUGAAAUAUUUUUGAAUAAUGGCAACUCUUUUGCGAGAGAUGAAAAGAGUUAAAAAACCAGCAAGCUUGUCACUUGAUGACAGAAAACCUUACUUUUGAAAGUCAUACAAACAUGCAGCCUGGCCUGUGUUCAGUGUCUUGACUGCAAUAAAACAAGAAACGUUAAUUAGCAUAAAUUAAUGGUCUAGUCCUGAAAAAGAAAAAAAAAGGUAAAUAUUACAUAGUUCUCAAUAAUGAAAGCAUUUUUGUUUUCCAGAAGGCAUCAGUUAUAUACUGACCUCUCAGUAUAUAGAGCAACUUUUGAUUUCCCCCUACCUAAUACAGCACGGGAGAGUGUCUCUUUAAAUUCAUUUAUAAAAUAAUUCAGGACUGUGGGUGUCUUUGAUCUGUUCCUCUCUGCUAAAGUACAGAAGAGAAGAACAUGUCGCUUAGCAACCCUGUGCUGGAACCGGGGUGGGGGUGUAGGGGGAGGGGAGGCAGGGAGGGAUGGAUGGUCCAGAGUCACAAAAGGGGAAGAUUAAUCCCCAUCAGAACUAAACUUCUGACAUUGCAUCUCUGAAACGAAGCAAGCAAAUAAACAAACAUGGGUGUUUGCAGAAUUAGGUAAUCUCACUUUUCUGUUGUUUUACACCACUUCUGGUCUAUUAAUAGUGAUUUUACCACCAAAUCAGGCACAGGAUAAGCAACACAGGGUUAAAUAGCUUCAGGACUGGGUUGCAGUCAAAGGGAAUCUGAAGUUUUAUUUUUAAGCCUGUUAAGCAUAUUUUAAAUUGAAUUAGUGUUGUCAAGGCUAUUAAUAAUUUCAUACCGCAAUUUUCAUCUGAGGAUUUCAAGUAAAUUUUGUGUGGCAUCUCAUCCUAUUUUACAGUUGGACAGUUUAAGCAUCAGCAGACUGAUUUGUUUAGGGUCACUUAACUUGUCAUAAAUAAAAAUCUGGAUUUCUCUAAACAGUUACCAGGCUGUGAUUAGCUGAUAACUAGGUAACAUCUUAGUAACUUUGAAAAAAAUAUCAAUUAGGAAAGUAACUUUGCACUGAAGUAGAUGAGCAGCACUCAGACAACCUCUACCACUUCUGCAGCUGCAGGUUGUUAAUGUCCCGCAAGGCAGUGGCAGUUCCAUCUCAAACCAACGGCUCCUGCUCUUCCUGUUUCUGACCAGUGAUGUCCUAGAGCAGUCCUUUUUCCUAAUUUACCUUUUUCUUUUGCAUGAGAACUCAGACAUCAGAUCCCACAGCACUGCAUGGCUGAGUAAUGGAAAACUGCUGCAAAAAACUGUUUAAGAGGAAGAAUGACAGACCUAGAUUAAUUGUAGCCUACUUCAACAUGUUUCACGAAGAUUUAAAAAUAUCUCAUAAUUUAAUAAAGGUGGAAGCAAGCCACAGGUAUGAAACUGGGCAUGAAUCUGCAGAGUGCUGUUAUUUAAAUGAUCACCAUUGUUUCUGGCUGUUCAGGGUGGCAACCUUGCUUUUUGAGCUCAAGUUAUUUAUAUUUUGGACUACUGCCCUUUCAGUGGUAUAAAUGGACUUGAAUAUGCAAAUUCAAAAUAACAAAGGCAAGGGUUUUGGGUUUUUAUAGUAUAGCAACUCCUUCGUCUCAUGUAUAAUAUUGUAGAUCUCUCAAAUAAUUACAGGUGAAAGAAUGCAUGGAAAGAAUCUACCUUCCUACAAAGUUUUUAAAAAACUAUAUGCUGGCACAUUACCAUUUCUUUGCCCUAAAACUCCAUUAGUAUCAGAAUACCAAAUGUGAAGUUGCAUAACGGAGGCACUGGGAAAAAAAUACCUGCUAAUGGUGAAAAGUGGAAAGGCAUAUGCUGUGUCUCUGAGUUAGUCACGUUUUAUGUGAUUCAGCAUAAACUAUAAGUAAAACUAAAUUAAAAGAUUCUGUUAUGUUUGAGAUCCACAUCUAGCAGGAAGAGGAAUAUUGUGCAUAUCAUUUGAUGCAGGAAUUGCGGUGCCAUUUCUCUAAAUGAUGAUAUCAGCCUUUAAACUGAUGCAUGUAGUAUUACCCACUCCGAGGAGAAAAUGCAGACCUUUCUCAAGAGUGGAUAAAACACUGCACUGGUUGAGUAACUUAACAGAAACAUGGAUUUAUUUGCUGUUGCUGAAGAUGCAAAAAUUUAACUUCGGCAUGGAAGAAAACAAUCUAAGAGAAGUCUGUUCUGGUCUAGGUGGAAGAAAAAGUAGGAUGCUCUUCUAAGUGUAAGUUGUUAUUGUUCAGCUUCAUAAUAAUUUUCUUGUCUUGAGGAGCUUGAUUUAUGAGUAUAGCAUUAAAAAAAGAUUCUUGCUCAGAAAGGCCAGCAGUGUGACAUGACAGGGCAUGAAUCGUGCUGUAUUAAUUUCCAGUUACUAUGUUGGCUGUGUACAACUACAUCACAAAAUGAGAUGCAAAUUAACACGAUAUAAUUGCCUUGUUUGAGCUCAUGGUGAUAUUACUCUCUGUGUUACAGCCAGUGUACUCAUGGUUCGUACCAGCUGCCCCAGGCCCACUGACGUUAGGAAGGUGGCCGCAGCUCCCUGCAGAGGCUCACGUGGAGCAUAUGGCUCUCCUGUCCCCGCAGCUGGGCUGGAUUCAGCACUCAGUUUUCUAGGUUCAGAAGUGGGAUUGUUCUCAGGAAGACUACUCAAAACCAGCUCUUUUUAAUGUUAUGUUCGCAAAACAGACACCAUGUGACGCAAAGUCAUAUAGAACAAGGAGAAUUAUGACAAAUGUUUGAAGACUUCUCACAACAAAUUGCUCACAAACCAUUCACAGCAAGAAUUACUUGCAGAGUGAUUACAGCACAUGUUCUUGAAAAAAAGUUCAAGAAAAUCAAUCUGCUCAUGGACAAAUGAUGAAGAGAGGAAGAAGAAAAUUUCCUCUAACAAAUACGAAACUGCACAUUAUUCACUCAGAUCAGUUGGCAACAGCCAAUUUUUAUGGUAGUAGGAGCUUGUGGAGUAGGAGGUAACUGUACAAAGAAUGAUUGAUUCAGUAUGUUAUAUUGCAAUUCUGGAAGGGGUUCAACAUCUAAUUUAAAAGCCAUUUUCAUCCUUUUCCCCAGAAAAGAAAACAAAAUGAUAGUCAAUGUCUGUGAGGUGCUUUGGGCAGAUAGAAUCUAUUUCAUGUCCAUGCAGUCCUGUGCUCACUAACAAUGGCUAGCUCAUAAGAAGGAGCAGCUUUUAAUUAGGAAAGAUCUCUCUUGCCAGAAAAAAACCCAAAACCUGCCUGAGGAAGGAUAUUGCCAUCAUAAUCUUCUUUGCAUCUUCCCAUUAGAAUAUAAAGGAUUUGCUCUUCCAGAACAGACACAUAAUGUGUCUUAAACUCGGUGCAUCUUUUCAGCCUUUGAGUUGUGUAGUCUUGUCUAAAACUCCUUCUCUACCAGCCCAUCCUUCAUGCCACAGUAAUGAAAUGAAUGGUGAUUUAGUUUCAUCUUGGAAGAAUACAGUGCACACUUUAGGCAUCUGUCUCCUAAGACCACCUUUUGUCUCAUUUUCCCCACUGCCUGGGAGGAAGCCAGCUACCUUUUGGGCAAGAGGCUCUGGGAUGUCACACUGGGAUGCUGGCAGAGUUGUCUUCUGCCCAGGAUAGAGGGUGACUAUAGCGUGUUCUGUUUGUGUCUGUGGUGUGGUGGAUGUGAGUUCAGCAUUAAGAUCUCCUUAACUCCUUACACAUGUAUUCUUGAUUUAAUAUUUAAUUCCUAACUUAAUUCCUGAGCAGGCACAUGCUAGCUUUCAAAGGCAUAGCAGAUGCAAGGAGUCCACUUGAUCCCUACUGCUUUACUUCACAAAAAACUUAAAAUGGUAAUGCCAUAAAUGGGCAUUACAGGACAAUAUUUGGGUGAAUGAUGUUCAACAUUACUCCACAUUUUAGUCAUAGUGAAAGAUUUCAGAAGUUACUUUGAGCUAAUGGAAGAAUAGUUUUCAUUUAAAACAGUGAUGUGUUCAUUUCCAUAAAUGCUGAUUGCUGUAAUUCUAGUGUAUAUGUUCUUGGCUCAGUUAUACUGAACUGAGUUAGCUUGUUAUGACUUAAUGCUAACCAUUGAUUAUAAAUUAAUUUUACUAUUACUAUGUUUUUAGCGAGAUGGCUACCAGGACUGAUACAUUUCCACAUCCACUGAAGGGAACAAUGAAAAGAAGGUGUAUUUCUGCAAGAACGUUCUAGGCAACAUUUUCAACAAAGAAAGGUUGUGCUGCAGAAUAUUAUGCCCAGGAGCUGUUACAUCAGCCUAUUAGCAUACAGGGUGAGGAUAUCUGUAUCCAGUUGAGCUGUGCUGAAACCGCCUUUAAUUCCUGCCCUUUAUGCCUUUCCUCCCAUGCUAGAAACUGAUGUUAGAUUCAAGACUGCUUGAAACAUCUUUGGGUGGUAAUGACGCUCCACCAUGGGUGAGUGCUCAGCUCACUGUUCUGUGCUCUAGGAGCCCUUUCUGCAUCACCUGUCUGCACUUGGGACAGGAGCUCAGAGCACACUAGCUCAUUGCCUGCAGAAUACUUGUCAGAUGACUGCUGAUAUGUUGGUGGACCAACUUCAACAUUUCACUACAAAAGAGCUUUAAUUCUGUCUAUAAUCUGUAUGGAUGGAUUUCUCAGCCUGCUUCAGUCUGCUAGCUGCAGAUAGGUUGGUUGAUCCAGGUGAAAUAAAACACACUGCCCUUUGGCUUGACCCUCCGCAUAUGCAAUUUUGGAAAGUUUGCCUAGAAAAGAUAACAAAAUAUUCAGCUGCUGCAGCCCCCCCCACUCCCCCAAAAGCCUACCAGCUUUUUUGCUUUUGUGUAAUUUGCUGCAUGUGAUUAACUCCACUGUGUUUCUGCCUGGCAGAAUCUGUGACUAAAAAUAUCCUGUGAGUAUACGUAGUAUGCUGCAAUACUGGCAGAAAGUAAAUAAGACCAUAGUCUUCAUAAUCACUGUUUUUCCAAAGAACUGCUCUCAGCAGACAGGCUAUUUUAGACUGUAAAUGGAAAUCAGAAAACGAGAUUUUUCUUUCCCUGCUAGCUCUUCUCCUGGGAAUCUUAGUGUUUUUCUCUGUGCACCUACUUUGGUUGUUCGUGGCAGCAUAUUGAUAAUACCGGUCUCUUGGAGGAUUGAUCAUUGGAGCCUAUUCUGAAAUACUCCAGCGAACAUGGGAAAUAAUUUCCACUGGUACCAGUGUAUUAUUUGUUGAUAUAAAAUCAAGUGUUAGAUCAAACACAGAGCUGGAUAGCCUGAUUUACUUCAUGAUUCAGGUGACAGUUCACUCAAAAUUCAUGCUUGCAAAGUAAGUAGAGGUAUUUCCUACCUACCUGCACUUUCUGUUCUAAUAUUGCUAAUACAUUUGCAUACUUAGCUCAUCAAAUAGGAGGUAAAAGGCGGUUUGCAGUCCAGUCAUGAAUGUAGACAUCCUUGGUUUGUAGUCCUGUCGAAACCAGUGAUGUUUGGCCUUGCCUCCAGUUUACAGCACAGAUGCUAUCAUCUAAAUCAUAUGUAUCAUAUGGAUCUAAUACAAGAUCUUUGCAUGGUCUUUAAAUCUGAGAAGUUCUAAUUAUCAUUCUUAAUACUUCAUGUAUUAUGCUUUUUUUUUUCUGGAAAAAAGCUUUGUGUUAUUUGGAAUUCAAAAGAUUAGGCUUUGCUACAGCAACAUGCAAAUCUGAGAACUUGAGAACAAGUCAUAAUCUUUAGCAUUGAGUGCACUUUCCUGAUGCCCCAGAUGGCAUUGAGAAGGAUUUUCUGUGCUAAGAAAUACCCUAUUAUUUCUUGGCAUGGGUACUGCUGUGAUAUUACAUCUGUAUCCCCCCCAAUUUGAUUGAAUACUACUCACAAGCAUCCUUUGACCUGCUGAGUAGUUGGUAAUGUGUUUUAGUCAAUUGUAGCAGUACUGAGAAGCACUCUCUUUCUGACUAUAUAAAUAAAAAACCCCCACUUUUUAACUUUGGAAAAACA